rnacentral:rRNA from 1 species
UAGAAAUCUGCCCGGUAGUGGGGGAUAACCUGGGGAAACCCAGGCUAAUACCGCAUACGUCCUAUGGGAGAAAGCAGGGGAUCUUCGGACCUUGCGCUAUCGGAUGAGUCUAUGUCGGAUUAGCUUGUUGGUGAGGUAAUGGCUCACCAAGGCGACGAUCCGUAGCUGGUCUGAGAGGAUGAUCAGCCACAUCGGGACUGAGACACGGCCCGAACUCCUACGGGAGGCAGCAGUGGGGAAUAUUGGACAAUGGGCGAAAGCCUGAUCCAGCCAUGCCGCGUGUGUGAAGAAGGCCUUCGGGUUGUAAAGCACUUUCAGUGGGGAAGAAAGCCUUGGGGCUAAUACCCUCGAGGAAGGACAUCACCCACAGAAGAAGCACCGGCUAACUCCGUGCCAGCAGCCGCGGUAAUACGGAGGGUGCGAGCGUUAAUCGGAAUUACUGGGCGUAAAGCGCGCGUAGGCGGUCUGAUAAGCCGGUUGUGAAAGCCCCGGGCUCAACCUGGGAACGGCAUCCGGAACUGUCAGGCUAGAGUGCAGGAGAGGAAGGUAGAAUUCCCGGUGUAGCGGUGAAAUGCGUAGAGAUCGGGAGGAAUACCAGUGGCGAAGGCGGCCUUCUGGACUGACACUGACGCUGAGGUGCGAAAGCGUGGGUAGCAAACAGGAUUAGAUACCCUGGUAGUCCACGCCGUAAACGAUGUCGACUAGCCGUUGGGCUCCUUGAGAGCUUUGUGGCGCAGUUAACGCGAUAAGUCGACCGCCUGGGGAGUACGGCCGCAAGGUUAAAACUCAAAUGAAUUGACGGGGGCCCGCACAAGCGGUGGAGCAUGUGGUUUAAUUCGAUGCAACGCGAAGAACCUUACCUACCCUUGACAUCGUGCGAACUUUCCAGAGAUGGAUUGGUGCCUUCGGGAACGCACAGACAGGUGCUGCAUGGCUGUCGUCAGCUCGUGUUGUGAAAUGUUGGGUUAAGUCCCGUAACGAGCGCAACCCUUGUCCUUAUUUGCCAGCGAGUAAUGUCGGGAACUCUAAGGAGACUGCCGGUGACAAACCGGAGGAAGGUGGGGACGACGUCAAGUCAUCAUGGCCCUUACGGGUAGGGCUACACACGUGCUACAAUGGCCGGUACAAAGGGUUGCGAAGCCGCGAGGUGGAGCUAAUCCCGAAAAGCUGGUCUCAGUCCGGAUCGGAGUCUGCAACUCGACUCCGUGAAGUCGGAAUCGCUAGUAAUCGUGAAUCAGAAUGUCACGGUGAAUACGUUCCCGGGCCUUGUACACACCGCCCGUCACACCA